GACGAACGCUGGCGGCGUGCUUAACACAUGCAAGUCGAACGGUGAAAGCGGAGCUUGCUCCGCUGGAUCAGUGGCGAACGGGUGAGUAACACGUGGGCAACCUGCCCCUCACUUCGGGAUAACUCCGGGAAACCGGGGCUAAUACCGGAUAUGACCUCCUUGGGCAUCCUUGGAGGUGGAAAGUUUUUCGGUGAGGGAUGGGCCCGCAGCCUAUCAGCUUGUUGGUGAGGUAGUGGCUCACCAAGGCGACGACGGGUAGCCGGCCUGAGAGGGCGACCGGCCACACUGGGACUGAGACACGGCCCAGACUCCUACGGGAGGCAGCAGUGGGGAAUAUUGCGCAAUGGGCGAAAGCCUGACGGAGCAAUACCGCGUGAGGGACGACGGCUUUUGGGUUGUAAACCUCUUUUCCCUGGGAAGAAGAUCUGACGGUACCAGGGGAAUCAGCAUCGGCUAACUUCGUGCCAGCAGCCGCCGUAA
rnacentral:rRNA from 1 species